AAACAUUUAGUAUAACAAAGCACACACUGUAUCAUAGCUGUCUAUUCCAAGUUAAUGGUAAGACAUGGACAUGGCAGCAGAGCACAAAAACAGAUGUUAUUUUAUAUAUUGUAGUUAAACUAGCUGCUUACUGUCCAACUCUACCUCUCAGUUCAGUUGUAGCUGUAAGGUUAGACCAGCUUAAGAUAGUUUAGCUGGUUUAGACUGGUCUAGCUGGUGAUAGGAUGUUGUAGUAGUUUGGCCAGUUAGCCUCCGAGCUCAACCAGCUUGGUGUUGGCCGGUCUCCCAUUCUGGAUGUCUCAAAGUUUUGCAAUAAGUAAUGGAUGUAGAAAAUUUUUGUCACAACCUAGGAGUACUUCUUGGGAUGAUUUUCUGAAAAUAAUUGAGCUUUUCAGAAACAAACUACUUUUCACCAAGUAGCUGCACCAAGUAACCAAAAGUAGUCAAAAGUAAUCAAAAACCAAUUAUCAGUGGUCUCCUAGUCUGGGAGAAGAAUAAGAAAAAUAAAGAAAAAAUGUUUAAAGUUGAAUGUAGGCAUUGCAUGAGUGGCAAGUUUUACAGGGCAGGUGAUAUGUUCUAUACAAACCACAUUAACCAAAUGUCACCAGGAAAGCUUUCCAUCCCCUAGUCCCUGUGCCAUGCUGUCAAAUGCCAUUGGAGAUUGUCAUAAUCAUGAAAUGAUGAUGUUGAUGAUGAUGAUGAUGAUGAUGAAUCCAGAGAGAUUUGCAUUGUGCAAACUCCAGAGUGCUAGUGUUAAAUGAUGAUUCCAAGAUCAACCUCUCUAAACAGCAGAGAGUAAUUUAGCUUUCUUGCGUCAGCAAAAAAACACUGACUUCCUCUUCAUGCUCUGGAUAAGCAAAAAUGGCUGCCACAAUCUGGAGCUGUAGUACUGUUAGAGCUCUCAACUGCACUGAAAAUAUUACUAAAAUAUGUUUGUACUCUGUUUAUAUCCAGACAUUUUUGUUAGUUUAGGUCUGAAUAAAAAGCAUUUGAUCAAAAAAAAAAAAAAACCUACAGAAGGGACCCAUAAUUAAGUUUUAUUAAAAAAAGCUUUAUUUUAAAGGUCAUUUUUAUUUCUGCCUUUUGGAUGCCAUUUAUAAUGCCUUUUUAUUAGUAAUAUUGCAUAAUUAUGCAUUCAGCAUUAAUUAUAUAUUAAAUUCUUUUACAAUACAUUUACUUAUAUAUUUAUUGCUGCAUUUACUCAUUAACUGUGUUCUAUAAAUAGCUUACAUGAUCAAUAUAUACAAAGCAAUGUGACAUCCAGUCAGUCAUGUAGCCCUGAUAGAAUUCAUGUUUAACUGAAUCGAGAGAAUUCACACCGCCAAAAGAACCAAACAGAGUCGCUGCUCGAGUAGCAAAGCUCUUCAGAGUUUACUGAGACAGACAGAGAGUAUUUAUACAAAACAAUGGAAUAGUCUUCUGCGUUGUUUAUAGGGCAAGAGCUGCUUUAUCAUGUUGAGAGGAACUUCUGUGUAAGUGUUGUUAAGUAUCACCUAAAACAAGCAGAAAUACACUGAAAGAUACACAGUAACAACAAAAAGACCAAAAUGAUUAUCACAAUAAUUGACAUAGAAUGCAAAAUCCAAUGGCCCCAACUACCACGAAAGAGAAGCAUGAGAAAGGAAGAUGAGAAACUGGAAGAGGCACAAGAAGAAAUUGAAAUUUGAAUGCACGAGAAUUUGGACAGAUUCAACAGGAUGGACUUUCCUCAUGGGGUCCUCAGAACACUCCUACACACCAACACUCAGUGACGCUGAAUUGAAUGUUGACUGUUUUUUGCUGUCAAUCCAAAGCUGCACUGAUGCUAAACCCUGGGUUCUGCAUAAGAUCUGUGACCCUGCAGCAUUCCAUCAUGGUCCAUCUACACAAUGUUCUCUACACACAUAGAGAACAAGUCGAGGUGUACAGACCUUACGACCUCCAGAAAUUGUCAG